GGAUGUGAGGGCGAUCUGGCUGCGACAUCUGUCACCCCAUUGAUCGCCAAGGUUGAUUCCGCUGAUCUGGCUGGCUAGGCGGGUGUCCCCUUCCUCCCUCACUGCUCCUUGUGCGUCCCUCCCGAAGCUGCGCGCCAGGUCGAAGAGGACGACCACCCCCGAUAGAGGAGGGCCGUUUCCUCCGUCAAGGGUAUACGAGUAGCUGCGCUCCCCUGCUAGAACCUCCAAACAAACUCUCAAGAAAUCAACCAAUAACGAAUUCUGGCCGGGCUGUGGGGAGAAAGGAACCCUUCUCCAUUGUUGGUGGGAAUGCAGACUGGUGCAACCACUGUGGCAAUGAAU
rnacentral:snRNA from 1 species